GACGAUGCUAUUGUUUUGACCAGUUUCAGAGAUGCUUGGAAACCCCAUCAAGUUGAGUGAUGCAGUAAGGUCAGCACCAUCAGCUUCUAGCCCUGCCACCUUAGAGACUGUGGCUCUCUAUGGUAAGAAGAAGGCAGCACCAGCUCCUCCUUCAAAGAAAGAUGAUGCUGCUGUCACUCUUGCCAAUGAUGAACUCACCAAGUGGUAUGGUCCUGACAAAAGGAUCUUCUUGCCAGAGGGUCUCUUGGACUGAUCCAAGAUCCUACCAUACUUGACUGGAGAAGUGCCUGGAGACUAUGGUUAUGAUCCUUUUGGUCUCAGCAAGAAGCCAAAGGACUUUGCCAAGUAU